GAUGAACGCUGGCGGCGUGCCUAACACAUGCAAGUCGAGCGGCAGCGAGGGGUGCUUGCACCCUGUCGGCGAGCGGCGGACGGCUGAGUAACGCGUGGGAACGUGCCCCAAAGUGAGGAAUAACUGCCCGAAAGGGUAGCUAAUACCGCAUAUUAUCUUCGGAUCAAAGGAUUUAUCCGCUUUGGGAGCGGCUCGCGUCGGAUUAGGUAGUUGGUGAGGUAAUGGCUCACCAAGCCGACGAUCCGUAGCUGGUCUGAGAGGAUGACCAGCCAGACUGGAACUGAGACACGGUCCAGACUCCUACGGGAGGCAGGAGUGAGGAAUCUUCCACAAUGGGCGAAAGCCUGAUGGAGCAACGCCGCGUGCAGGACGAAGGCCUUCGGGUUGUAAACUGCUUUUAUAAGUGAGGAAUAUGACGGUAACUUAUGAAUAAGGAUCGGCUAACUACGUG
rnacentral:rRNA from 1 species